UAGAAAGUGGUGUAGUGGAAGCACAAAGAGUCUUGGUCUCUUUAGAUUGGGUUCAAACCCCUUCUUUCUA
rnacentral:tRNA from 1 species